rnacentral:lncRNA from 10 species
GUGGGGCACAAUCCACAGAUCUACCAUCAUUAUGGAAAGAUGGUCCUGCUCUGUUGUGUUUUCAGGAAAAACGAAAGGGCUCCCAGGCCUGCUUGAUGCUUCCAGAUGCCUGGUGACAGGAAUCAAGAACCAGGGAAAGGCCUCAGGAUGCUGAGUUCAGAAAUUGUGAGGAUCGAGGGGUGAGAAAUCGAGAGCAGAUGAGGAAGCUGGUUCUCGUCAAGAUUAACUGACUUGCCCCAAAUUACACAACCUGUAAAUGCAUAAGGAGGAACCACAUCAAUUAUCUGCCUCUGAGGCACACAUUUAAAACAUUUCCUCUGCUGCUUUCAUUUCCUAAUGUCCUGGGGCCAACCUGAGGCUCAUCUGAGGGAGGUGUCUGAGCUUCAUGCAAGAGAGUGAGAAAUACUAAGUUGACUGCAAUUGACUGUGUGUGUGUGUGUGUG